UGUCUAAAGAUGCUGUUAGAACCUAAGCAA
rnacentral:piRNA from 1 species